UGGAAGGGCCUCUGCUCUAUUGUUGCUGCUGCUUCAUUGAAUUUAGAUAGCAAGAAUACUUAGCAGUAACACUCAUAUCUCUCACUCACUCGUGGUUUCUUCCUCGCCCCCAGUCUUUGCUAGAUUUGUUCUAAAUGCAUUUCGGUCUGAACUUACAUUGUGAAGAGUAUUUGAGCUGCCUUCAUAAUAUUUUCGACUAUUC
rnacentral:lncRNA from 1 species